CGUGCUAAUCUGCGAUAAGCGCCGGUAAGGUGAUAUGAACCGUUAUAACCGGCGAUUUCCGAAUGGGGAAACCCAGUGUGAUUCGUCACACUAUCAUUAACUGAAUCCAUAGGUUAAUGAGGCGAACCGGGGGAACUGAAACAUCUAAGUACCCCGAGGAAAAGAAAUCAACCGAGAUUCCCCCAGUAGCGGCGAGCGAACGGGGAGGAGCCCAGAGCCUGAAUCAGCAUGUGUGUUAGUGGAAGCGUCUGGAAAGGCGCGCGAUACAGGGUGACAGCCCCGUACACAAAAGCGCAUGUGCUGUGAGCUCGAUGAGUAGGGCGGGACACGUGGUAUCCUGUCUGAAUAUGGGGGGACCAUCCUCCAAGGCUAAAUACUCCUGACUGACCGAUAGUGAACCAGUACCGUGAGGGAAAGGCGAAAAGAACCCCGGCGAGGGGAGUGAAAAAGAACCUGAAACCGUGU
rnacentral:rRNA from 1 species